UCUAAUAUGGCAGAUUAGUGCAUUGGACUUAAGCUCCAACUAUAAAACUAGCUUUUUUUUAGAA
rnacentral:tRNA from 1 species